AUUGAACGCUGGCGGCAGGCCUAACACAUGCAAGUCGAACGAGUGGCGGACGGGUGAGUAAUGUCUGGGAAACUGCCCGAUGGAGGGGGAUAACUCCUGGAAACGGUAGCUAAUACCGCAUACCAUCGGAUGUGCCCAGAUGGGAUUAGCUAGUAGGUGGGGUAACGGCUCACCUAGGCGACGAUCCCUAGCUGGUCUGAGAGGAUGACCAGCGACACGGGAAGUGAGACAGGGUCCAGACACCUACGGGAGGCAGCAGUGGGGAAUAUUGCACAAUGGGCGCAAGCCUGAUGCAGCCAUGCGGCGUGUAUGAAGAAGGCCGUCGGGUUGUAAAGUACUUUCAGCGGGGAGGCGUUACCCGAAGAAGAAGCACCGGCUAACUCCGUGCCAGCAGCCGCGGUAAUUC
rnacentral:rRNA from 1 species